rnacentral:sRNA from 1 species
GCCGGGCAUGGUGGCGCAUGCCUGUAAUCCCAGCAGCUGGGGCGGCUGAGGCAGGAGGAUUCAAGUUCAAAGCCAGCCUCAGCAAAUUAGCGAGGGCCUAAGCAUCUUGGAGAAAUCCUGUCUCUA